AAACAUCUGCAGUGCAAAUUAAGAAGAUCUUGGAAAAUGACAAACAAAGUUGCUGCACUGCUGGUCUUGUGCCUUGUUCAUGUUGCUGCAGCUGAGCUUCCUAAAGCUGCCGCUGAUGCGUACGGCUCCUGCUUCAACACCUGCGAACAGGCAUGCCGAAUUGGUGGCCAAGGCCAAACCUUCUGUGAAAUGAAGUGCGACACCGACUGCUUCAACAAGGACGUCGGAGCCAAACUGCAUAUCACGGCUCCUUGAUGAAUCGAUGGCAGACACCCUUUCUCCCUUUAAAAGACAGGAUGAUUGUAUCAAAUGAUGGAGGAAUUCAUUAACGAUUUGGUUUCUCUCGUUUGCAAUAAAUCCAUAAAUCUACCAAGUUUUAUAUUAUAUCUUACAAUAAGCCUGCGAUUGCCUUC